rnacentral:misc_RNA from 1 species
GAAAUCGUAUUUUGUAAAAGAAAUAGGUACGUAUGUCCAAACUACUCGUCGUUGGUAAUGACUGUGGCCAUACGCUUAAAGUAAAUUACUAAAAAGUAGGAGAAGAUAGAGAGCACGCACCUUGGCUUUCAAGUCAUGCGGAGUAUUUUGGUAAUUUAAGUUCUGUUCUCUCCAACAUCGGCCGACAAAUCUAUUCAAAGUUUUUGAAUUUCCCUUUCUCCGGCGAAGCACUAUAGCAUCCUUUGAUAAGCUCCACUACCAAACGGAGAAAGACGACAUUGUUCUGGAUCAAUGGUGAAGGGGGGAGGCCAAAACCUACCGCCCGACGUGAGCCAGGUGAUCGAUCAGCUGGAACGCCACUGUUUGGCCCCCGAUGGAUCUCUUGUCUCCAAAUCUGCCUACUACGACCUCCAACUCGCGAGAGAGGAGAUGUCCAGGGAGAGACUUCGCUACUUAGAAGCAAUGGCUAUUUACUGCGAAGCGAUUGCUAUGGUGGAAGAGUAUCAGCAAGCUGUUUCGGUGGCUAAUCUUGGAGGCAUUCGAGAUAUCCAGGGGUUAUACCCACAACUUAGCUUGAAAAACUCUUCUCAGGUUUUGAUUGUCUAAGAUUACCUUGUUAUAACAGUAGUUUAUAACUGAAAGAAAAGAAAAGAAAAACUUGAAGAAAAAGGAGUAAUUCAUCAAUCUUUGUUUUACUGUUGGUCUAUAACAAAAUGUAGUUUGCUUUGAUUGCACUUUUCCAGAUAAUAGCGUUAAUGUCAAGGAGGUUCUAUUUUGAUUUGUUUGACUAUGACCAUAGACAUUCAGAGAUGCUUUGUUCUCAUUCCAAACAAAUGUAUAUCACAAUUAUUAUUGCAUUAUGUUAGAAUUGCAGUGUAAUUAAAUUUCCCUGAAGAAGCUUCUAUUUGAGAUGCUUCUCAGUUAAAUUGCGCCUAAGAAGCUACUAAUAGAGAUGCUUGCUGUUGUAUACAGCUCUGGCAUGUGAUGGCAUUUUGGUAUUUCUAUUUUUAUUAGUAUUUGAAGUCAAUUCUACUUAUUAUAUUGGAUGAAUUUAGUGGAUGAUUCUUGUUCUGUUGUCCCUAAUUUUAGGUUUAUGAGAUUCUAGAGCAUCGUUUAGUUGUUGCUGAAGCAGCUCAGAAAUUGAGACUUCCUCUUAUAUCAAAGGAUGGUGAAAUCCAUGAGGAGGAAAUUGAAAAAUGGAGUAUAAUGUCACGAAGCUCCCUUGAUAGUACAAGUACCAGUGUAACUAUCAGCUCAAGCUCUAAUUCAAUAAAUUAUGCAAAUAGUUCUGCAAACAGCACUGCAGGCGCAACAAAUAAUGCCCUUUCUCUUGGUGCUCCUGAUUCAGCUGAACCUGGAGUUGGUGGUGUUCCCAAUCGUUUUCUUGGUAUAACACCUACUUAUUUAUGGCAAACUCAGCUCCAGCAAAUGCCAUUAAUAAUGGACACUGCUGAGUACCAGAUGUCUCUUUCCCAUGAGAUUGAGGCUCGUUUAAAGGAUAAAUGUGACAAGUUAGCAGAUGCUUUUGUUGAUGAUAUUGGUAAGGAGCCAUGUAUUGCUGGACAACUGUACCACCCAACACCCCACGCAUCAACAACCCCCCCGGCCCCCCGGCGUUUCUCAUCCUUCUCUUUCUCAUAAAAUCCUUUGGUUUAUCUAUUGUUUCUUUAUCUGCUGGUUGCAAGCCAUCUCGUCAACUAGUGCUGUGUCCAUUAUAUAUGGAGAAGUAGCCCUUGCAGUUACUACGCGAAAAAUAAGCUUCCCAGCUCCAGUGAUAUCUAGACCUAGGUAUUUACCGAUAUAGUAGUUAAAGUAUUUAAAAAAAUUAUGCAUAAAUUUGAAUUAGAUUUGGUUUGGAGGAUGGAGGGAAGGCCACAAAACACUGAAGCAUAAGUUACAAAUAAACUGAAACUCUAUUUCAGCGAGCAAAUUUGUGAAAUAUAUGAUAGUGUAUAAUGGUAAAUGAAACUAAUUCCCUGCAUUACUCUACUGCAGACUCAUCAUCAGCUAGCCAAAAUUCAACUUCUCGGCUUCCAGAGAGGUUUGGACUUUGGACUAGUCUUUUUUGUUAUUAGCCUCUUGAAAAUGCUUUUCUUCAACAAAGGAAUGGAUAUCAAAAAAGGGGGGAAAAGGAACUGUAUCAUAGAUGUGUUUCACACUAAUCAUCUUUUGCUUCGUCAGGGUUAAGUUGAUAAUUGAGGAAAUUGAGAGGGUAGAAGCUGCUCUGCGAGAGGAUCUCUAUUCUGCUGAUCGAAAGUUUGCAGAACACUACAGUGUAUGGCGAAAGACAUGCUAAUUUGUAUAUGUGCAAUUUUUUUUAUCUUUGUUUAGCAUUUGAACUAUGAAAUGGGGUAAAAUGGUGUUUUUGAUCUUCUAUGGUAUGCUAUUAGUAUGCUAUCUAUUUCAGUAACUUGUAUAAUAAUCUCUUCUUGAGAAGGUCUUAGAGCAGAUACUGGCAGUGCUUAUUAAGCUUGUAAAAGAUCUGAAGUUGCAGCAUCAACAUAAAUAUGAUGAACUACAAAAGACUUGGCUGUGUAAAAGGUGUGAGACCAUGAGUGCAAAAUUAAGAGUUCUAGAGCAUGUUCUCCUGCUUGAAACUUAUACUCAGGAGUCCAUUCCAGCCCUCCAUAAAAUAAGGAAGUAUCUUGUAGAGGCUACAGAAGAAGCUUCUAUGGCAUACAAUAAAGCAGUUUGUUUGUGUUCCUGUGUUUAGUGUUUACAGCAAAGUUGCUAGAGAUUAUCUUAAUUAUUGUUUGUUUUUUGAUGUGCUGUGGACAGAGGUUUUAUGGUGUAGUGUUUUAGAGGAUUAGUUUGAGGAAACAUAUGCUUAUUUUUUAAAUUCCUUUCUUCUGCAUUUAGUGGCCAACAUGAUCUGGAUUAUCUUGAAAGCACACUUAUACUGACUGUAGAAUGUUGAUGUUUCCAUUCAUGUUACUUGUAUAGUAAUAUUUCCUACUCUUAUUUGUUACCUUUGCUCCUGGUUUUCAUGAUCAAUUUGUAUUUCAAUUCUCUUUCCAGGUUACACGCCUUAGUGAAUAUCAAGGUGUGGAUCCUCAUUUUGACACAAUUGCAAGACAAUACCAUGAUAUUGUAA